GGGAUGGAGACCGACGCGGGCGUCAGCGACUGCUCUUGGAGGACAUCGGGUGUGUCGCUGGUUGCUCCACCGGCGAGUGCGGCAACUGGAUUGAUUGUUGUUGAAGGCUCUUGACCGCGUCCGUCAGCACGGUCAUCUGCCGCACGAUCGCCACGAUCUGCGCCUCCGUGGUCACCACAGGGUGUGGAGAGCUAGAUUCCGCCAUGGAGGAUGGAGGAGAGGCCUCUUCCCGACGGGAAGAGUGCCUCGCUGAUCCAGUGGCCCUCGAUCGCUGAGUCCUG
rnacentral:lncRNA from 1 species